rnacentral:rRNA from 1 species
AAAUUGAAGAGUUUGAUCAUGGCUCAGAUUGAACGCUGGCGGCAGGCCUAACACAUGCAAGUCGAGCGGUAGCACAGAGAGCUUGCUCUCGGGUGACGAGCGGCGGACGGGUGAGUAAUGUCUGGGAAACUGCCUGAUGGAGGGGGAUAACUACUGGAAACGGUAGCUAAUACCGCAUAACGUCGCAAGACCAAAGUGGGGGACCUUCGGGCCUCAUGCCAUCAGAUGUGCCCAGAUGGGAUUAGCUAGUAGGUGGGGUAACGGCUCACCUAGGCGACGAUCCCUAGCUGGUCUGAGAGGAUGACCAGCCACACUGGAACUGAGACACGGUCCAGACUCCUACGGGAGGCAGCAGUGGGGAAUAUUGCACAAUGGGCGCAAGCCUGAUGCAGCCAUGCCGCGUGUGUGAAGAAGGCCUUCGGGUUGUAAAGCACUUUCAGCGGGGAGGAAGGCGAUAAGGUUAAUAACCUUGUCGAUUGACGUUACCCGCAGAAGAAGCACCGGCUAACUCCGUGCCAGCAGCCGCGGUAAUACGGAGGGUGCAAGCGUUAAUCGGAAUUACUGGGCGUAAAGCGCACGCAGGCGGUCUGUCAAGUCGGAUGUGAAAUCCCCGGGCUCAACCUGGGAACUGCAUUCGAAACUGGCAGGCUAGAGUCUUGUAGAGGGGGGUAGAAUUCCAGGUGUAGCGGUGAAAUGCGUAGAGAUCUGGAGGAAUACCGGUGGCGAAGGCGGCCCCCUGGACAAAGACUGACGCUCAGGUGCGAAAGCGUGGGGAGCAAACAGGAUUAGAUACCCUGGUAGUCCACGCUGUAAACGAUGUCGAUUUGGAGGUUGUGCCCUUGAGGCGUGGCUUCCGGAGCUAACGCGUUAAAUCGACCGCCUGGGGAGUACGGCCGCAAGGUUAAAACUCAAAUGAAUUGACGGGGGCCCGCACAAGCGGUGGAGCAUGUGGUUUAAUUCGAUGCAACGCGAAGAACCUUACCUGGUCUUGACAUCCACAGAACUUAGCAGAGAUGCUUUGGUGCCUUCGGGAACUGUGAGACAGGUGCUGCAUGGCUGUCGUCAGCUCGUGUUGUGAAAUGUUGGGUUAAGUCCCGCAACGAGCGCAACCCUUAUCCUUUGUUGCCAGCGGUUAGGCCGGGAACUCAAAGGAGACUGCCAGUGAUAAACUGGAGGAAGGUGGGGAUGACGUCAAGUCAUCAUGGCCCUUACGACCAGGGCUACACACGUGCUACAAUGGCAUAUACAAAGAGAAGCGACCUCGCGAGAGCAAGCGGACCUCAUAAAGUAUGUCGUAGUCCGGAUUGGAGUCUGCAACUCGACUCCAUGAAGUCGGAAUCGCUAGUAAUCGUAGAUCAGAAUGCUACGGUGAAUACGUUCCCGGGCCUUGUACACACCGCCCGUCACACCAUGGGAGUGGGUUGCAAAAGAAGUAGGUAGCUUAACCUUCGGGAGGGCGCUUACCACUUUGUGAUUCAUGACUGGGGUGAAGUCGUAACAAGGUAACCGUAGGGGAACCUGCGGUUGGAUCACCUCCUUA